UGAGUAACACGUAUCCAACCUGCCGUCUACUCUUGGACAGCCUUCUGAAAGGAAGAUUAAUACAAGAUGGCAUCAUGAGUUCACAUGUUCACAUGAUUAAGGGUAUUCCGGUAGACGAUGGGGAUGCGUUCCAUUAGAUAGUAGGCGGGGUAACGGCCCACCUAGUCUUCGAUGGAUAGGGGUUCUGAGAGGAAGGUCCCCCACAUUGGUACUGAGACACGGACCAA
rnacentral:rRNA from 1 species